AACGAACGCUGGCGGCAUGCCUAACACAUGCAAGUCGAACGAGACCUUCGGGUCUAGUGGCGCACGGGUGCGUAACGCGUGGGAACCUGCCCUUAGGUUCGGAAUAACUCCCCGAAAGGGGUGCUAAUACCGGAUAAUGUCUUCGGACCAAAGAUUUAUCGCCUUUGGAUGGGCCCGCGUUGGAUUAGCUAGUGGGUAGGGUAAAAGCCUACCACGGCGACGAUCCAUAGCUGGUCUGAGAGGAAGGUCAGCCACACUGGGACUGAGACACGGCCCAGACUCCUACGGGAGGCAGCAGUGGGGGAUAUUGGACAAUGGGCGAAGGGCUGAUCCAGCUAUGCCGCGUGAGUGAUGAAGGUCUUAGGGUUGUAAAGCUCUUUUACCCGGGAUGAUAAUGACAGUACCGGAAGAAUAAGCACCGGCUAACUCCGUG
rnacentral:rRNA from 1 species